UUUUUGUCAUUUUAAUUCUCUUUUCUGUUUUCCAGAACAGUUCUCCACAGUCGCUGUCCACAUGGGUCAGUGGGACCAAGAAGCACUCCGCUAAUGUGUGGACUCUGACCAGCAACAUCCAGCAAGACCCAGACAGCGUUUUCUAUCUCCCAGCUGGAGUUUUUUGUUUGUCUGUGACCGGAGAGUCAGAUUUUUGUUGAGGCUGGAGGAACAGCCUUACACUUGCAGAGGUUAAUACACUCUACUGAUCCCUGAUGGGAGAAUCAUCACCUCUGCCAACAAAGAAGCCUGGUGGAUAUUUGUUUGCAGUCUGAUGAUGGGACAUCAUGCUCUGCAUCUUCAAAGUUUACCUCCUCAUUAUUAUUCAUACACAGUAAUGUGAAGCAUGCUUAUAUCUAGUAUAACUGGACCAACCUGGUGCUCUUCAUUUAUGGAGGCUGUUGAGUCUGAAUGUUGGAUGUUGUGUAUCUCUUGUUCUCUGGGCUUUGUUGUCCUCAGUCUUUUUGCAGGAUCAGAAAACAAAACCAGGAGACCUGUAAAUGUUUCUUCUCCAAUUGGAUGAUGAUAAGACUGUGACAUGGGAUGCCACCUUUAGUCUUGUGAUGAAGCAAAGCUCAGGACGAAGUGUGAUUAAAUGGUACCCACAUGUGUGCUGCUGAGAAGGAUGUACAGGGGCACCUGCAGCCAAAUCCAAGCCUCCUCAGCAACUUCAAGUCUGUCAGCAUGCUGAGGUCACAGAAACAAGAAAAGAAGCUUGACACUUCAGAGUGUUGUUUACAGUUUUCUGUCAUCAUGAUCUCCCCUGAAGUUUAUCACUAUUAGGCAAGCAAGCAGAGCGGCAGUUUGUGCUCACAGAUGGUGACGGUGUGGAGAGACGGUGGUGUUUCCUCAGAAGAACUAGCAGAGUCACCAAGGGCACGAGUCCAUCUCACCACCUUGACUUGCAGACUGAUGCUCGUCUGCACUGCACAGAGGAAAUCAACUGACCGAGAUGGGCAGGAUAUCAGUCUUGGACUGUCUAACCUGCCGGAGCAGCACUGAAUGACCACCACACAUGAGCAGUUCCUGCAACAUUCAGCAGCUUUGCUUUUGUGUCAAAUGUCAAACAGCUGGAGAGGAAACUAAACCAGUACUGGGCUGUUUCACCAACAUGUGCCAGAUGCUGUUCCUUCAUGGUGACAUCACCAGAGACAGCCCCGCCCACCUCAGGACCUCGCCAUUGGUCAUGAUGAUUAUAAUCAGAACUAAGACUGUACA